GCUGGGUGUGGUAGCCCAUGCUUGUAAUCCCAGUCACUCCGGAGGCUGAGGCAGGAGGAUUGCAAGUUUGAGGCCAGCCUCAGCAAUUUAGCAAGAACCUAUCUCAA
rnacentral:sRNA from 1 species